rnacentral:lncRNA from 1 species
CUAAUUUCGCCGGCGGUUUCCCUCACCUGUUCUUCCCAGAAGUUCAGCCAAAACCAAGUUUACUCCAACUGCAUCGACCUGCCUUCUCUUUCCUCUUACCUUCACUUCUCUUACGAUUCUACCAACACUACUCUCUCCGUCGCCUUUAUAGCCACUCCUUCUAAAUCUGGAGGCUGGAUCGCAUGGGCCAUAAAUCCAAAGGACACCGGGAUGGUCGGUUCC